UGGCUGCCCUUAGGACAGUUGUUCAUUGCCUGUAAGGUCACUUAUAGAAAUGUUUUCAAGACUGCGAAGUAUAUUUGGGAGGAGGAAUGGACAACAUGGAGAGACCAGAGUGAGGAAGAAGGAAGCAGGCCCUAGGGACUACUGAGGAGGCACCAUCCCAACUCUCUACUUUCACAAAGCAGGACAAGCAGAUGGAGAAGCUGGAGGAACUUACCAUUAAGCUACAGAGUAUAAAAAAUGAGCAAAUUGAGCUGAGUGCAAUCCUGGAAAGCUAUACCAAGAUAGAUUUUUAUAACAGGCUGAAAUCUUUUGAGAUGAUGAAAAAGGUGCAUAAGCAGGUAAUGUGUGACCUUCAGAGAUUUCCCUUGGAGAUCAGUGAUAACUUGAACAAGUGCAAGCAGCUGAUUGAGGAGAACAACAAAUGCUACAGUUUCCUCCACAGAAUUGGCCUACCAGAUUUGACUCAGUUGAAAAACAAUGUCCAUGCGUUGAAACUGGAGAAUGAAAAGCUGUUGGAGGAGCAGAUUGCACUGCAAGAGACCUGUGAA